rnacentral:tRNA from 1 species
CGGGGCGUAGCGCAGCUUGGAUUAGCGCGCCUGCCUUGGGCGCAGGAGGUCGCGGGUUCAAAUCCCGCCGCCCCGACCA